rnacentral:lncRNA from 1 species
GCAGCAUAUACACCACUGGCCAACAACUCUAAACAAGAACCAUACAAAACAUUUAUCAAUCAAGAAAGUGAAAGAAAAAAAGGAAAAAUAUACCAAUACAGGUAAAGAUAAGGUAGUUACUGGUUGUGGGGCGUUUUGACACUUGUUCUUGAUGCUGAUUUCUUGGAAUUUUCCAAAGGCAGGGACAGUGAUUUGAUAGAAGCAGAGGAUAAGAGUGCAUUAGAAGGUGAAAAGGGGGUGUGAAAAACAGGGAGAUUUGUGCUGUUGGAGAUUGAUGUCUCCAAACUAAGAAGAUGGGUCAUCUUUGUUCACUAUGUUUGCUCAACGAGUUGACCAAAAACUCCCAACAAUAGUUGACUUGUCUGUAGAUAGGACAUGCUUAUACGACGUCAUAUUUGCCAUUUGCUAAAACCCUUCUUAAACCUAUGAGAUUUUGUAAUGUUGGGGUCUUGAUGGGGUUUUGUAAUACUGCUAAUGGACUUAGAGGAGAAAAUUUUUUGAUGUUUUUUGGUGUGACGUUGGGACUGCAAUGGUAGUGGUGAUGGCUCUAAUAGAAAAUGACAGCCUUGAGGCUGCAAUGAGUGGGGUAGGGUGGGAGUGGGGGUGGGGAAGGGCGGAAUGCUAGUAUGGUGGUGGUUGUGUUGCUUGGGGGAGGGGGGAUGAGGAGAGGGUGGAAGACUGGAAAAGGGUGGGGGGAUNNNNNNNNNNNNNNNNNNNNNNNNNNNNNNNNNNNNGGGAUGCUGGGGGGUGGUAGGGGAGGAGGGGGGGUGCUGGACGGGGUUGUGGAAGAGGGAGGACCUUGUUUUUAUUUUUUUAAAUAUUAUUUUUUUAAUUUUAAAAAUAUUUUUAAAUUUGAAAAGCUAAAAAAAUAUUGACCUCAUUUUUAAUUUGUUUUAAUUUUAAUAUUAUUUUAAUAUAAAUACAUUGCUUCAUUCGCUCAUACACACGUGACUACACGCGUCUUAUCCCAGUCAGCAAUUUUAAUGCCACAUAGAUCAAGUCAACGGUCAAAGGGUAUAAAAUUUUGAAUUUUAUUAAAUUGAGGGGUCUAGAUGACAAACAUAUAAGUAGGAGUAUCCACAUUACAAAAAUAUAUAAUACAAGGGUCCAUCGAGUCAUUUUGCCAUUAAAAUAUUUUUAAUUUUAUAGAUUAAGGGUGUGUUUGGUAUGAUGGAAAUUGUUUUCUGAAAAAUGUUUUCCUAUUUUUCCUUCUUUGGUUGUAAUAAAAUAUUGGGAAAAUAUUUUUCAAAUUAGCUCAUUUUUCUCUAUUUAAGGGAAAAUGACUCCCCCAUGGCCAAGGAAAGUCAUUUUCUAAAAAAUGACAAAUGUGACUUUUGUGCCCUCACCCCCACCCCACCCCAUCCCUCUU